GCGUAAAUUUGAUGUUAGCAACAACUUAAAAAUGUUAUUUUUGAGAAACAUGGACGAACGUCUAAUUCCUGAAGUGAGACUGUGAGAGCUAGUUGGGCGAGGUAGAGGGGCGGUGGUGGUACAACACAGAGUGUGGCUGUCCUGGCAGGUCUCUUGCUCAAAUUCCAAUGAUACAACUUUAAUCAGACCUAAUCUGCUUAUCGACCUCCCAGGACGCUGUUCGGCCUUAAGUGUUUAACGGAAUGCAUGGACCCGUAAGAUGCUGCCACUCGAAAGCAUAAGGAUCUGCAGAAUGACGUUACGGCAAAGAGGGCCCGUCAUCGUUACAGUCUUUUUCACGAACGAGGAAAUCUACAGCACCUGGUGUCACAGGAAGGCCAAGAAGAUCAUCAAGGACCUCAACCACCCGAUCCAUGGCCUGCUCACCCCUUUAACAUCCAGAAGGCGAGGUUUUUCCUAGGCUGUUCACUGGGUGAUACUGUACCUGUCAGUGAUUGGACGCCCCGCUGCGUCAUCCCUAACUGUCCCUGACAGGUGGGCCAUUAUAUGAAGAGAGGAAAAUAAUCCCUCUCUUCUGAAGAUCACCUUUCAAGAAAUGAACAUUCUCAGUUGCUAGUCGCCCAACUUCAAGCUCAUACCUGAAACCUGCACGGAAUAAUGAAUCCACUCCUAAAAAUAAUGACUAUAUUUUAAGCACAAGCGCUUAAAUGUCCAUCUCUGGGUUCGGCUUUUGUGUGAGUCUCUGAGUUUCUGUGUACGUGCAUGUGCGUGCAUACACGUGUGUAUGUACAAAAGUAGAAAAUGUGUGUGUACCAAACUGGGCAAGUGGCAGGUCAUUGAGCGGUGGGUAGCGCAGAAUUUGUGACCCGGUCUCAGUGUCUCCACUGUACUGUGUGUGUAUGUCUGUGUAGAAGGUUGGGGAUGCCCACUGGCUCCCGAUCCAGCUUACUGUACCAUAGAUGACAUUAACCCUCCCAGUCCCACAUCCCCGCAACCACUUGACAUUUUAAUCGACAUUUCCCUGAGUGCUCUCACAUUAAAGGGCGUGACAUUUCAUUUGCACACGAGGCUGAUUAAAAUACCCCCUUAUGGUCUCAAGAAAAGAGGGGACAGGCCGUUCGUGUACCCUCUGUUCAGAAGAAGAACAAAAGGAACGAAUGUGAGAUGUGCCGAUGGAGAAGAUGAUGGAGAGGCCUUUCCUGGUUUUACUUUGAAGCUGUGGGCAUGAGACAAAGCAAAGGGCAGAUCUAGUGUUUCCUUUGUAGGCUUAUAUUGAAAACAUAUAGGUGUGAAAAGUACAUUGAAAGGAUGAUCUCGUCGAAAAGCCCAGCCCACGUUGUAUUAUUCAUACUUACUCACAAUCAGUUCCCAACUUAUCUGAAAUCCUAUUGUUUGUUCCUGUUAGUUUUUCUCCACGGCUGUUCAGAAGAGAAAUUCACAUUUUGACUGCUUCACUCAGUGUUCGUCACUGGCAGGUUGGAUUUGUGUCUAUGUCACAGCACCUGAGUGGCAGUGGUCUGUCUGGGUGUUGCUGCUACGGUGUGUUAGUCCCAGCUGUGCUGUGUUUUCUGACUCCAGGCGAGGUCUCACCUGCCACCUCCUGUUGGCACAGAGCGCUGUACACUGGCCUGGGGCCUGUUAUUGUCACUGAUGUACGUACGGCCCUGCCGGUCGCCUGGGGUCCACUCUAAACGCCUCGCUUCCAAAGCCAUUCACACUCAGCAGCAGCACCAACAGCCCUCUGUCUGCCUCCAGGUCUCUCUGAUCUGACAUGGCACACCUCAGAGUUUGACUUUGUUUGGGGUUCUGUUUUUUUAAUGUUGGAAUUCACUGUAAAUGCUUAUAGAGACCUAUAUGGAUCCGACCUACUGAGAGUGUUCAGAAAUGGCUUGAAGUGGAGAAUAGAUGCAUAGAGAAAACAACUCUGUUUAUUGAAAUGCGGUCAUGUAUUCAUCUACUGCAUACUCAUAUACUUUACUGUCAAUGGAUAAUACAUGUAUUUCAAAAAUUGUGUUGACACUACUAGCAUAUACAAAAGGUCAUGGACAUUGAGAUACCUAGUCAGAUCUGCCUCUGUGUUACAAAGUCAUUGAUUUAAGCGUGCAAAGCCGGUGGCAUUUCUGGCUACAAAAACAAUACUAUCAUUAUGAAUGCUAUAAAUAUGAAUGACUGUAUAUUUGCUGUGUGUAUACCU